rnacentral:Y_RNA from 1 species
GGCUGGUCCAAGAACAGUGGUGUUUACAACGAAUUGAUCGCAGCCUGUUACAGAGGUCUUUGUUCUUUCCCCACGCCCACUGAUUCAUUUGACAAGACUUGA